rnacentral:tRNA from 1 species
UGAGGUGUAGCUCAGUGGUAGAGCACUUGCCUGGCAUGUGUAAGAUCCUGGGUUCAAUCCCCAGCACAACAA